AUUGAACGCUGGCGGCAUGCUUUACACAUGCAAGUCGAACGGUAACAGGCCGCAAGGUGCUGACGAGUGGCGCACGGGUGAGUAAUGCAUCGGAACGUGCCCAGUCGUGGGGGAUAACUACUCGAAAGAGUAGCUAAUACCGCAUACGAUCUAUGGAUGAAAGCGGGGGACCGUAAGGCCUCGCGCGAUUGGAGCGGCCGAUGUCAGAUUAGGUAGUUGGUGGGGUAAAGGCUCACCAAGCCAACGAUCUGUAGCUGGUCUGAGAGGACGGCCAGCCACACUGGGACUGAGACACGGCCCAGACUCCUACGGGAGGCAGCAGUGGGGAAUUUUGGACAAUGGGCGCAAGCCUGAUCCAGCAAUGCCGCGUGCAGGAAGAAGGCCUUCGGGUUGUAAACUGCUUUUGUACGGAACGAAACGGCUCUGGUUAAUACCCGGGGCUAAUGACGGUACCGGAAGAAUAAGCACCGGCUAACUACGUG
rnacentral:rRNA from 1 species